rnacentral:rRNA from 1 species
AGAACAACGUACAAACCUUAUCGAUAAACAAUUGGAGGGCAAGUCUGGUGCCAGCAGCCGCGGUAAUUCCAGCUCCAAUAGCGUAUAUUAACGUUGUUGCAGUUAAAAAGCUCGUAGUUGAAAUGAAGGGUGGUGUUGUUGGGUUUACAUUCGUGUACUUCUUUCAACUCCCUCCCUCCUUCUAAAUUCGAUAUAUGAGUAUUAAUUUACUUGUAUAUGGUUUUAGACAUUUACUGUGAGAAAAUUAGAGUGUUCAAAGCAGGCAUUUGCUUGAAUAUAUUAGCAUGGAAUAAUCAUGUAUGAUUUUCAUG